UACGGAGGUGGCAAGCGUUGCUCGGAAUCACUGGGCGUAAAGGGCGCGUAGGCGGGGAGGUAAGUCGGGUGUGAAAUCCCUCGGCCCAACCGAGGAACUGCGCCCGAGACUGCUUCUCUUGAGUCCCGGAGAGGAAGGUGGAAUUCCCGGUGUAGCGGUGAAAUGUGUAGAUAUCUGGAGGAACACCGGUGGCGAAGGCGGCAUCCUGGACCGAUAUUGACGCUGAUGCGCGAAAGCCAGGGGAGCAAACGGG
rnacentral:rRNA from 1 species